rnacentral:rRNA from 1 species
GAUUGUCCCAGCAGCCGCGGUAAUACAUAGGGUGCAAGCGUUGUCCGGAAUUAUUGGGCGUAAAGAGCUCGUAGGUGGUUUGCUACGUCGGAUGUGAAAUUCAGGGGCUCAACCCCUGACUUGCAUCCGAUACGGGCAAGCUAGAGUUUGGUAGGGGAGACUGGAAUUUCUGGUGUAGCGGUGGAAUGCGCAGAUAUCAGGAGGAACACCGAUGGCGAAGGCAGGUCUCUGGGCCAAUACUGACACUGAGGAGCGAAAGCGUGGGGAGCGAACAGGAUUAGAUACCCUGGUAGUCCACGCUGUAAACGAUGUCGACUAGCUGCUUGUGUCUUCGCGACGUGGGUAGCUGCAGCUUACGCAUUAAGUCGACCGCCUGGGGAGUACGGCCGCA